CUGGUAAGUCAGUUGUGAAAGUUUGCGGCUCAACCGUAAAAUUGCAGUUGAUACUGUCAGUCUUGAGUACAGUAGAGGUGGGCGGAAUUCGUGGUGUAGCGGUGAAAUGCUUAGAUAUCACGAAGAACUCCGAUUGCGAAGGCAGCUCACUGGACUGCAACUGACACUGAUGCUCGAAAGUGUGGGUAUCAAACAGGAUUAGAUACCCUGGUAGUCCACACAGUAAACGAUGAAUACUCGCUGUUUGCGAUAUACAGUAAGCGGCCAAGCGAAAGCAUUAAGUAUUCCACCUGGGGAGUACGCCGGCAACGGUGAAACUCAAAGGAAUUGACGGGGGCCCGCACAAGCGGAGGAACAUGUGGUUUAAUUCGAUGAUACGCGAGGAACCUUACCCGGGCUUAAAUUGCAGUGGAAUGAUGUGGAAACAUGUCAGUGAGCAAUCACCGCUGUGAAGGUGCUGCAUGGUUGUCGUCAGCUCGUGCCGUGAGGUGUCGGCUUAAGUGCCAUAACGAGCGCAACCCUUAUCUU
rnacentral:rRNA from 1 species